rnacentral:rRNA from 1 species
GUGAACGCUGGCGGUAGGCCUAACACAUGCAAGUCGAACGGCAGCACAGUAAGAGCUUGCUCUUACGGGUGGCGAGUGGCGGACGGGUGAGGAAUACAUCGGAAUCUACUUUUUCGUGGGGGAUAACGUAGGGAAACUUACGCUAAUACCGCAUACGACCUACGGGUGAAAGCAGGGGAUCUUCGGACCUUGCGCGAUUGAAUGAGCCGAUGUCGGAUUAGCUAGUUGGCGGGGUAAAGGCCCACCAAGGCGACGAUCCGUAGCUGGUCUGAGAGGAUGAUCAGCCACACUGGAACUGAGACACGGUCCAGACUCCUACGGGAGGCAGCAGUGGGGAAUAUUGGACAAUGGGCGCAAGCCUGAUCCAGCCAUACCGCGUGGGUGAAGAAGGCCUUCGGGUUGUAAAGCCCUUUUGUUGGGAAAGAAAAGCAGCAGGUUAAUACCCCGCUGUUCUGACGGGACCCAAAGAAUAAGCACCGGCUAACUUCGU